UUAAGCGACUAAGCGUACACGGUGGAUGCCCUGGCAGUCAGAGGCGAUGAAGGACGUGCUAAUCUGCGAUAAGCGUCGGUAAGGUGAUAUGAACCGUUAUAACCGGCGAUUUCCGAAUGGGGAAACCCAGUGUGUUUCGACACACUAUCAUUAACUGAAUCCAUAGGUUAAUGAGGCGAACCGGGGGAACUGAAACAUCUAAGUACCCCGAGGAAAAGAAAUCAACCGAGAUUCCCCCAGUAGCGGCGAGCGAACGGGGAGGAGCCCAGAGCCUGAAUCAGUGUGUGUGUUAGUGGAAGCGUCUGGAAAGGCGCGCGAUACAGGGUGACAGCCCCGUACACAAAAAUGCACAUGCUGUGAGCUCGAUGAGUAGGGCGGGACACGUGGUAUCCUGUCUGAAUAUGGGGGGACCAUCCUCCAAGGCUAAAUACUCCUGACUGACCGAUAGUGAACCAGUACCGUGAGGGAAAGGCGAAAAGAACCCCGGCGAGGGGAGUGAAAAAGAACCUGAAACCGUGUACGUACAAGCAGUGGGAGCCUCUUUUAUGGGGUGACUGCGUACCUUUUGUAUAAUGGGUCAGCGACUUAUAUUCUGUAGCAAGGUUAACCGAAUAGGGGAGCCGAAGGGAAACCGAGUCUUAACUGGGCGUUAAGUUGCAGGGUAUAGACCCGAAACCCGGUGAUCUAGCCAUGGGCAGGUUGAAGGUUGGGUAACACUAACUGGAGGACCGAACCGACUAAUGUUGAAAAAUUAGCGGAUGACUUGUGGCUGGGGGUGAAAGGCCAAUCAAACCGGGAGAUAGCUGGUUCUCCCCGAAAGCUAUUUAGGUAGCGCCUCGUGAAUUCAUCUCCGGGGGUAGAGCACUGUUUCGGCAAGGGGGUCAUCCCGACUUACCAACCCGAUGCAAACUGCGAAUACCGGAGAAUGUUAUCACGGGAGACACACGGCGGGUGCUAACGUCCGUCGUGAAGAGGGAAACAACCCAGACCGCCAGCUAAGGUCCCAAAGUCAUGGUUAAGUGGGAAACGAUGUGGGAAGGCCCAGACAGCCAGGAUGUUGGCUUAGAAGCAGCCAUCAUUUAAAGAAAGCGUAAUAGCUCACUGGUCGAGUCGGCCUGCGCGGAAGAUGUAACGGGGCUAAACCAUGCACCGAAGCUGCGGCAGCGACACUGUGUGUUGUUGGGUAGGGGAGCGUUCUGUAAGCCUGCGAAGGUGUGCUGUGAGGCAUGCUGGAGGUAUCAGAAGUGCGAAUGCUGACAUAAGUAACGAUAAAGCGGGUGAAAAGCCCGCUCGCCGGAAGACCAAGGGUUCCUGUCCAACGUUAAUCGGGGCAGGGUGAGUCGACCCCUAAGGCGAGGCCGAAAGGCGUAGUCGAUGGGAAACAGGUUAAUAUUCCUGUACUUGGUGUUACUGCGAAGGGGGGACGGAGAAGGCUAUGUUGGCCGGGCGACGGUUGUCCCGGUUUAAGCGUGUAGGCUGGUUUUCCAGGCAAAUCCGGAAAAUCAAGGCUGAGGCGUGAUGACGAGGCACUACGGUGCUGAAGCAACAAAUGCCCUGCUUCCAGGAAAAGCCUCUAAGCAUCAGGUAACAUCAAAUCGUACCCCAAACCGACACAGGUGGUCAGGUAGAGAAUACCAAGGCGCUUGAGAGAACUCGGGUGAAGGAACUAGGCAAAAUGGUGCCGUAACUUCGGGAGAAGGCACGCUGAUAUGUAGGUGAAGCGACUUGCUCGUGGAGCUGAAAUCAGUCGAAGAUACCAGCUGGCUGCAACUGUUUAUUAAAAACACAGCACUGUGCAAACACGAAAGUGGACGUAUACGGUGUGACGCCUGCCCGGUGCCGGAAGGUUAAUUGAUGGGGUUAGCGCAAGCGAAGCUCUUGAUCGAAGCCCCGGUAAACGGCGGCCGUAACUAUAACGGUCCUAAGGUAGCGAAAUUCCUUGUCGGGUAAGUUCCGACCUGCACGAAUGGCGUAAUGAUGGCCAGGCUGUCUCCACCCGAGACUCAGUGAAAUUGAACUCGCUGUGAAGAUGCAGUGUACCCGCGGCAAGACGGAAAGACCCCGUGAACCUUUACUAUAGCUUGACACUGAACAUUGAGCCUUGAUGUGUAGGAUAGGUGGGAGGCUUAGAAGUGUGGACGCCAGUCUGCAUGGAGCCGACCUUGAAAUACCACCCUUUAAUGUUUGAUGUUCUAACGUUGACCCGUAAUCCGGGUUGCGGACAGUGUCUGGUGGGUAGUUUGACUGGGGCGGUCUCCUCCUAAAGAGUAACGGAGGAGCACGAAGGUUGGCUAAUCCUGGUCGGACAUCAGGAGGUUAGUGCAAUGGCAUAAGCCAGCUUGACUGCGAGCGUGACGGCGCGAGCAGGUGCGAAAGCAGGUCAUAGUGAUCCGGUGGUUCUGAAUGGAAGGGCCAUCGCUCAACGGAUAAAAGGUACUCCGGGGAUAACAGGCUGAUACCGCCCAAGAGUUCAUAUCGACGGCGGUGUUUGGCACCUCGAUGUCGGCUCAUCACAUCCUGGGGCUGAAGUAGGUCCCAAGGGUAUGGCUGUUCGCCAUUUAAAGUGGUACGCGAGCUGGGUUUAGAACGUCGUGAGACAGUUCGGUCCCUAUCUGCCGUGGGCGCUGGAGAACUGAGGGGGGCUGCUCCUAGUACGAGAGGACCGGAGUGGACGCAUCACUGGUGUUCGGGUUGUCAUGCCAAUGGCACUGCCCGGUAGCUAAAUGCGGAAGAGAUAAGUGCUGAAAGCAUCUAAGCACGAAACUUGCCCCGAGAUGAGUUCUCCCUGACCCUUUAAGGGUCCUGAAGGAACGUUGAAGACGACGACGUUGAUAGGCCGGGUGUGUAAGCGCAGCGAUGCGUUGAGCUAACCGGUACUAAUGAACCGUGAGGCUUAACCUU
rnacentral:rRNA from 1 species